rnacentral:rRNA from 1 species
UACGGGGGGGGCAAGCGUUGUUCGGAAUUACUGGGCGUAAAGGGCUCGUAGGCGGCCAACUAAGUCGGGUGUGAAAUCCCCAGGCUUAACCUGGGAACUGCAUUCGAGACUGCAUUGCUAGAGUAUGGGAGAGGGAAGUGGAAUUUCCGGUGUAGCGGUGAAAUGCGUAGAUAUCGGAAGGAACAUCAGUGGCGAAAGCGACUUCCUGGACCAAUACUGACGCUCAUGUGCGAAAGCGUGGGGAGCAAACAGG